GGAGGGGUCGCAUAGUUGGUCUAGUGCGCUGGUUUGCUAAACCGGUGUGCGAAUAUAAAAUUCGUACCGAGAGUUCGAAUCUCUCCCUCUCCG
rnacentral:tRNA from 1 species